rnacentral:tRNA from 1 species
GGAAGUGUGCCUGAGAACACAAGGGCUACAUUGAUAGAGUAGACACGGACUUUUACCCACUUCCU